GUAUUGCCAUUAUACCCAAUUAAACAUUCUGUAACAAAAGCUGGUUUGUAAUUAAAGCAUAGAAAAGACUUUCCGCCGACAGAGUCAGCUUUCAAUCAUUCCUACAAAAAGUGCACAGAGGUUGAGAGAGUAAUAAAUGAAUCAAGCGUGCACGAUGCCUCAUAUAAACAACAAGACCAGCUACAACUCGCUUCAAUAUAAUAAACUCGAUAAUGAUCCUUCCGCAGGUUCACCUACGGAAA
rnacentral:misc_RNA from 1 species